rnacentral:siRNA from 1 species
UGGCAUUUCUUCAGAUGGUUC